CAGAAAGUCUGUGUGUGGUAAUUAACAUGGCAAGAGCUGUGAAGACGUAGUCAAUGGAAUCUAGGAGCGUUCUCUGCUGUUUCAUACGUACUCGUGUGAUUCACAUGUGUAUGUUUCAGAAAAAAACGAUCAGCUGAGCGACAGAUGAUGACUAAAUAUUGAUUCCAGAAACACUGCGCACAAAGAAGCAUGGAUAGUGGCCUUAGAUACACAUUGAAUCAUCUUGAACUCAUUGUUAGAACACUGAUAACAUAGCACAAUACUAUAG